rnacentral:rRNA from 1 species
GAUGAACGCUGGCGGCGUGCUUAAUACAUGCAAGUCGAACGGAGACAGUAGCAAUAUUGUCUUAGUGGCGAACGGGUGAGUAACGCGUUGGUGACCUGCCCCGAAGAGGGGGAUAACAGUCCGAAAGGAUUGCUAAUACCCCAUGUGGUCAUAUGGAUUAGAUGCCUAAUGACUAAACGGAUUUAUUCGCUUCGGGAGGGGCCUGCGUCCCAUCAGCUAGUUGGUAAGGUAAUGGCUUACCAAGGCGAUGACGGGUAGGGGACCUGAGAGGGUGGCCCCCACAAUGGAACUGAAACACGGUCCAUACACCUACGGGUGGCAGCAGUAGGGAAUAUUGGUAAUCUGGGAAACCGGGAACCAGCAACGCCGCGUGCACGAUGAAGGCCUUCGGUCGUAAAGUGCUUUUGUAGGAGUGAGGAAGGACAGUACCUUCAGAAUAAGCCUCGGCUAACUACGUG